rnacentral:tRNA from 1 species
ACGCGUGUGCCGGAGUGGUUAGCGGCCGGCAGCGGAAAGGAACAGCCGCACAUUCUGGAGAAUGUAAACCGCCAGAGUUCGAAGGUUCGAAUCCUUCCACGCGUCCCA